rnacentral:rRNA from 1 species
UACGUAGGGACCGAGCGUUGUCCGGAAUCAUUGGGCGUAAAGAGCGUGUAGGCGGCCUUUUAAGUCCUGCGUGAAAUCCUGCGGCUCAACCGCAGACGGUCGUGGGAAACUGGAAGGCUAGAGUGCGGGAGAGGAGAGUGGAAUUCCCGGUGUAGCGGUGAAAUGCGCAGAUAUCUGGAGGAACACCGGUGGCGAAGGCGGAUCUCUGGGCCAUUACUGACGCUGAGGAGCGAAAGCGUGGGGAGCGAACAGG